rnacentral:rRNA from 1 species
UGGGGAAUCUUCCGCAAUGGACGAAAGUCUGACGGAGCAACGCCGCGUGAGUGAAGAAGGUUUUCGGAUCGUAAAACUCUGUCUUUUGGGGCGAACGUGAGUAUGGUGAACAAUCAUAGUCAGUGACGGUACCAAAGGAGGAAGCCACGGCUAACUACGUGCCAGCAGCCGCGGUAAUACGUAGGUGGCAAGCGUUGUCCGGAAUUAUUGGGCGUAAAGAGCGCGUAGGCGGGAUAGUCAGUCUGUUGUAAAAGUGCGGGACUCAACCCCGUGAUGGCAAUGGAAACAGCUAUUCUUGAGUGCAGGAGAGGAAAGUGGAAUUCCCAGUGUAGCGGUGAAAUGCGUAGAUAUUGGGAGGAACACCAGUGGCGAAGGCGACUUUCUGGACUGUGUCUGACGCUGAGGCGCGAAAGCCAGGGGGAGCGAACGGGAUUAGAUACCCCGGUAGUCCUGGCCGUAAACGAUGGGUACUAGGUGUGGGAGGUAUCGACCCCCUUUCCGUGCCGGAGUUAACGCAAUAAGUACCCCCGCCUGGGGAGUACGGUCGCAAGACUGAAACUCAAAGGAAUUGACGGGGGUCAUAGCUGUUUCCUG